GACGAACGCUGGCGGCGUGCCUAAUACAUGCAAGUAGAACGCUGAAGAGAGGAGCUUGCUCUUCUUGGAUGAGUUGCGAACGGGUGAGUAACGCGUAGGUAACCUGCCUUGUAGCGGGGGAUAACUAUUGGAAACGAUAGCUAAUACCGCAUAACAAUGGAUGACACAUGUCAUUUAUUUGAAAGGGGCAAUUGCUCCACUACAAGAUGGACCUGCGUUGUAUUAGCUAGUAGGUGAGGUAAUGGCUCACCUAGGCGACGAUACAUAGCCGACCUGAGAGGGUGAUCGGCCACACUGGGACUGAGACACGGCCCAGACUCCUACGGGAGGCAGCAGUAGGGAAUCUUCGGCAAUGGGGGCAACCCUGACCGAGCAACGACGCGUGAGUGAAGAAGGUUUUCGGAUCGUAAAGCUCUGUUGUAAGUCAAGAACGGGUGUGAGAGUGGAAAGUUCACACUGUGACGGUAGCUUACCAGAAAGGGACGGCUAACUACGUG
rnacentral:rRNA from 1 species